rnacentral:rRNA from 1 species
CGUGGAGACAGGUGGUGCAUGGCCGUCGUCAGCUCGUGUCGUGAGAUGUUGGGUUAAGUCCCGCAACGAGCGCAACCCUUACCCCUUGUUGCCAUCAGGUCAUGCUGGGCACUCUAGGGGAACUGCCCCGGUCAACGGGGAGGAAGGCGGGGAUGACGUCAAGUCAUCAUGCCCCUUACGCCCUGGGCUACACACGUGCUACAAUGGCCGGUACAAAGGGAUGCAAGACCGCGAGGUGGAGCUAAACCCAAAAAGCCGGUCUAAGUUCAGAUUGGAGUCUGCAACUCGACUCCAUGAAGGAGGAAUCGCUAGCAAUCGCGUAUCAGCACGACGCGGUGAAUACGUUCCCGGGCCUUGUACACACCGCCCGUCACACCACGAAAGUCAGCUGUACUCGAAGUCGCUGAG